rnacentral:misc_RNA from 1 species
GAAAACGAGGCUAACAAACAUUGUUAAGAUGGUAGAACAAACUCGUGUUUUCCGUUUGACCCUUACACUUUAGACAGUUUACAAGUGUAAGUAGAUUAAUUUUUUAUAUUCAGUCAGCGAAAAAUGGAGCUGUGUUAUAAACGUAACUAUUUUGUAAAUAAUUCAGUAUGCUAAAGUACUCGUCAUACCAUCAUUAUCAUUGUUCGUGUUGAAUAUCGCAUUUUGACUCUUGAGUCAUUGCACUGUGCAAGGUAAUCUAGUACAAGUAGUGAUAAGGGACUUCACUGUAACUUGUAAGUGUAACUUGACUGUGACAGUUGCCGUUUCUUUGUUCCCAGCUGAUUGGAGUUUGGAACGAGGGUUUCGUGUUUAUACUGCCUACUGUAUGAUAGCUGGUUCUACACACAGUUGAUGAAUUAAUACAUUUAGAAGUGGUUUUUGUUUCUUCAAGAAAUCUACCAAAGAUUCUAAUUACAGAAUGGCAUCUCCUACACUUUCUUUACCAGAAUCAACAGCUUUUAGCACCACAUCAGCCAGUGCUGACCACAGCCUGCAGGAGAGUCUUCCUACCAAAUGUCCUCUCUGUCAGGAAGUGUACACCAUCCCCAAAGUAUUACCAUGUCUUCACACGUUCUGUCAGCACUGUCUUGAAAAGAUCCAAGAAUCUCCAGAUAAGAUCAAGUGCCCACAUUGUCAAGAAGAGUGCCUAUUGACAACCCAAGGUGUGUCUGGUCUUCUCUCAGAUUAUGCCAUUAGCAAUAUUUUGGAGGUAAAUGCUAUGGAAGCAACUUCCCUUUGCUGUACUGGCUGCAGAACUAAAGAGAACAAUGCAGUUGCUCGUUGUUUUGAUUGUGCCAACUUCUUAUGCUCAAACUGCGUGAUGGCUCACCAGUUCAUGCACUGCUUUGAAGGGCAUCGGGUUCUCACAUUGGGAGAGUUGCAGAGUAGUAAAGAUGAUAGAAAGUUGGAGAAACCUAUCUUUUGUUCAUGCCACAAAUAUGAAAUCUUGGAAUUUUUUUGCCAGACUUGUAAUGUCCUGAUCUGCAAAGACUGUAUAAUAACUGAACAUCCAAAAGGCUUACACAACUUUGACCAUCUGGCAGAAACUGGACAUAAGCAGGUAGAAUUUGUAGGUUCUUUGAUUGAAGAUUCCAGACUGAAAAAGACAGACCUGCAAAAUCUUUUGAAAACUAUAGAACAUUCUUCCAAUAACUACCAAAUCCAGUAUGAAAAAGCACAGAAUGAAAUCAAAGACACCCACCAGUUUUACUGCUCAGUUCUACAAGAAAGAAAGAAAGAGAUUCUAAAAGACCUUGAUGAUGCCUUCAAUUCAAAAAUAGUUUACCUUUCACUUCUUGGUCAAAACAUCCAAGAGAACAUUGACAAAACCCAUGAAAUGUGUGACUUUGUGGAAAAAAUGAUAAAGUUUUCAAGUAAAACUGAAAUACUUAUGUUUAAGCAGUUGUUGACCUCAAAAUUUCAAAAACUUGUUGGAUUCAAUCCAGCUGUGGAAUUAAAUACACUAGAUCUUAAGUUUGUGUCUAAUUACCAAACUAUUCAAAUUGGAGUUCGAAACACAUUUGGGUAUCUUCGACAAAAUUCAGAAUUGCUUGUAGAGACCAAGCCACAAUCAAUUGCAAGGCCAAAUGGUGUAAUUGGAUCAGAACGAUCUCAUCAGAAUGGUCACAUGUUUGAUUCAAAUGGAAUUUCAAAACGGUCUGGAUCAACUAAUACUUUUGGUUCUUUUCUAACUAAUUUGGGAGAUCUAAAUUCUUAUGAGAAGUGGUCAAGUGCCCCUAGUGACAUAUUUCAAAAUGGCUCAGAAACUUUUCCCAUUUCAAGUGACACUCUUUUUGACUUAUCGUCUAAGUUGUUCAGCUCAAGUAUUUUUCCUCUAAAGUCUCAGAUAAAGCGUCAGAAGAUGAUCUAUUAUUGCAAGUUUGGAGAGUUUGGAGUAAUGGAGGGUCAGUUUACAGAACCAAGUGGUGUAGCUGUGAAUGUUCAGAGUGAUAUCAUAGUAGCUGACACCAAUAACCAUCGAAUCCAAAUCUUUGAUAAGGAAGGUCGGUUCAAGUUUCAAUUUGGAGAAUGUGGGAAACGAGAUGGACAGUUGCUGUACCCCAACAGAGUUGCUGUUGUAAAGGCUUCUGGUGAUAUAAUUGUUACUGAGAGAAGCCCAACACACCAGAUCCAGAUAUACAACCAGUAUGGACAGUUUGUCCGCAAGUUUGGAGCCAACAUCCUCCAACAUCCAAGAGGUGUGACCGUUGACAAUAAAGGUCGUAUUAUCGUGGUGGAAUGCAAGGUGAUGCGUGUUAUCAUUUUUGAUCUUUUGGGUAAUGUUCAUCACAAGUUUGGAUGUUCCAAACACCUGGAGUUCCCCAAUGGAGUGGUCGUUAAUGACAAGCAGGAAAUCUUCAUCAGCGAUAACCGAGCUCACUGUGUGAAAGUGUUCAACUAUGAAGGAAUCUUCUUGUGGCAGAUCGGAAGAGAGGGAAUAACCAACUAUCCCAUUGGUGUGUGCAUCAGUCCUCUUGGAGAAAUUCUAGUGGCUGAUAAUCACAAUAAUUUCAACAUUACCAUUUUUACACAAGAUGGGCAGUUGGUCAGUGCUCUGGAGAGUAAGGUAAAACAUGCUCAGUGUUUUGAUGUGGCUCUUGUCGAUGAUGGUUCUGUUGUUCUGGCAAGCAAGGACUAUCGACUUUAUGUUUAUCGAUUUCUCUAAUUGGGCAGAUUAAACUGUGGUAAAAAGUACGAGAAGUACACAACAUAGCCAGUUCCUGGAGGAGGCUCUAUUGAACUGUGACCCAUGUUGUGAUAAGCAGUUUUAAAGGAGAGUUUGGUUGGAUGCUACAUUCUGACAUCUGAUUUAGGUUAAUAAUAAUACUUUCUUUUGUAUAAGCUUUUUAAUAGUUUGAGUCAUGUUGUCAUUACGGAAAUGUUUCAUUUUGUUUAAAAUAUCCUUAAUGUUAUAGGUUUGAAAUGUGGAAUACCUUUCAAAGAACAGGGUUUCAGAACAACACUUAAUACAAGUUUAAUGCCUGACAUUUUCCUUCUAACUUACAGAGGAUUGUAAAAAAUUUCUCGUGCUGUUGGUUUGUUUCAGAUUCACAUUAGCCCUAGUCAUUACUUGGUUCAGGAAGGCUGUAUAUUCUCAUGAGAAAUCCAGAAGUUACUAAUAUAAUUUUUAACAUUCAACAGUUUUUUUUAUCCUAUUUAUUGCAAACUAAUGUUUAUGAUCUUAAUAUAGAGAAUAAAAAAAAAAAACCCAUAGUACAUCUAUUCAUGCAUAUGCCAAAGAACCUGUGAUCUCGGAGUGGGACCACUAGUUGAAAUUGUUCUUAACUUUGAUAUUAAUUUACUUUGUUGUGUAAUUCUUUUAACUGCAGCUAGUUCAGUGUAAAAUAUAUUUCUGAUGAUGGGAUCAUGUUUUCUUUUUUCAAGUUUGUGGAGAUCCUGAACUUUUGAGUAUUAAUGUUUUGUUGUACUUUUGUGCCAACACUGUUGAUUUUAAAUGUUUAAGCAGUUGUAUUGUUCUUAUUUAUUCUUGAUUUAUUGCUACAUUGUUGAAACAUAAAAGAAAUGCAGUUACAGUAGUUUCUGUUAGGAGGCUGUAAAGUCUGGGGCUGGAGAUUUUACUAGUCACACCAUACAUGGAUAUCGAACUCAAGUCUGGUUUGAAGAGAAGUUAACUAUUGCUGCUAAUUUUACAAAUAAUUCACUAUCUGGUGUGAUUAUUUAUAUAUUUAACUGAAUGUGAAGUCCUACAUGUUUUAAUAUUUUCUAGGGAGAAAGGAAACUUUAUUUUUAUAGUGUUUGAUUCUUCGUGAAGAACUGUGCUAUUCUCUAAUUACACUGUCUAAGUAGGCCUAGUGAUUAAAACGUUGAUAUGAAAGUGGAUGUAUAUGUUUGACCACACAUCUUUUAAAACAAUAACAAGUUAAGUAUUUAGUAUGUCUUCAUAACAUGGCCAGUCUAUUUGAAGUUUUAAAAACUAAGUAUUUGUGGUUAUUACAUUUCAUGUGAUUUAAAGAACUUGGACUGGAACUGUUGAUAACUCGUAGUUCAGUGUUUUUUGUUUUUUUUAGUCUCUUUCCACAUAGUUUGAAUAAAAAAACCACCAACAACAAAACGGACUUAUUACUUCAUAAUACAUUUUGUAAAUUUUGGUUUUCAUUAAUUUUUAUUUUUAUGGCAAUAAUUUAUUUAGUAGUUAACUGUUUUUAAAGGUAAGUUUUUUCUCCAGUAGAAAUAUAUGUGUAUUUUCUUUAUUGUGUUAGAAGAUUUAAUAACAUUGGUUAAAAUAAAUCGGUGUUUGGAUCGUGUUGGUGAAUAAACAAAGUCCAUACUUUGUUCUGUUUCAUAUAUAGUUUUACUCUUGUAGAACUGGUGAAUGUUCUAUAAACAUUGUAUUCCUUGCUUAGGUGAUAGCUGUUUAACUGAUCUCAUCAAAAUACUUAAUUAUCAUAUCACUUUUAUAUUCCUCAUUGCUCUGUUGGUAAUGUCAAGGUGUUGAUGUUAAUUAAAACCAAUUUUAUAGUAAUAAUAUUAGCUGUAGUAAUAAUGAUAAUCGUAGAUGGAUGAGAAAUCAUGAUAAUUCUCUUGAUACGCUGAUUUGAAGUGUAGUAUUGGUAUAGUACCCACUUCAAGUUCCCCUCUUAUAUCAAAAGGGAAACUUGUUUCUAUAGUGGAGUUGUCUGUAUUGAAAUGUAUUUCUAAUUUAUUAUCAUAUAAUUCUCAGUAGCAUGUGAAGGCAUCUAGUGGUGUAUUUUACUAAGAAGCACAUUAAUUCUUUAAAGUGUGCUUUGUCAUUAGCAAAGAAGGAACUCGGAAUUGCUGGUAGUAAUACUGCAGAGCUCAAUCCAAGCAUUCAAUACGAUGAACAAACAGAUGUGUUAUUUAUUUCAUAUACUUGUUACAGAUGUUGUUUAGUUUUGUGGACUUUCUUGUUGAAAGGAUUGAAUAAAUAGUCACAUGGAAAGUGAAUUUUCUAUGAAUACCUAUAUUUUCACAUUGUUCAGGGCAAUUUUACUUGUAUUUGUAACAGUUUUAUGUGUUAAAGAACAAUAACACAUUGUUAUUCCUAUUGCAUGUAAAAGUUAAGCUUUGUAAUAAAAUAAUUUAUUUUACAUUACAUUUGUACUGAAGUCAGACAAGAACAUUUACAUAGUUAGAAGGAUUGUUUUAAUGGUUUUGUUUGUAAGUGUUGUUUUUUUUAUUAUUUUUAAGUCAAAUUAUAUGAGUUGUUCUAGCUUAUAAGAAAAAAAACAACAAAAAAACUUGAGUUUAUAGUCGCUUUGUAUUAUGAAGUGUAUGACUUUCUUAUUAUUUAAUACAUCUUCCCUUAUGCACUUCCACUAUGCAAUUCUCCUCCAAGGCUCUGAAAGGAAACCAACAAGAUUUGAACCUCAUAUUAAUGUACAAGUAUUUUUAUAAUGAUUGUUUUGGAUAACAUUGUUAAAAAGUAGUUGAAUUUUAUAUCAUUUGUUCUUGUAUUGUUUGAGUUUCAGUUAAUCCCAACUUGUAUUUCCUUUUCUAAGUUUUAUUAGUUUAAGAUAAAGAACGUGACAUAAUUCUUCUAAGCUCUUUUACAAAUAUUUAAAUUCUAAAAUUGAAUUUUAAUUUUUUUUGUUUAACUUUGGUUUUUUUCGUGCAUUGUUGGUGUUCCUUGAAAUAGAACUCUAGUAGGCAUGCAUGUGUUUGUAGUUGGCCCUGUAUUGGGAAUUAAAGCUUCAGUUGGUGUGUGUGUAGUUGGCCCUGUAUUGGGAAUUAAAGCUUCAGUUGGUGUGUGUGUUUGUAGUUGGCCCUGUAUUGGGAAUUAAAGCUUCAGUUGGUGUGUGUGUGUAUUGUGUGUAGUUGGCCCUGUAUUGGGAAUUAAAGCUUCAGUUGGUGUGUGUAGUUGGCCCUGUAUUGGGAAUUAAAGCUUCAGAUUAUGUGUAGUUGGCCCUGUGUUUGGAAUUAAAGCUUCAGUUGGUGUGUGUAUGUGUAGUUGGCCCUGUGCUGAGAAUUCAAGCUUCAGAUUGUGUGUAAUUGGCCCUGUAUUGGGAAUUAAAGCUUCAAUUGGUGUGUGUGUGUGUGUGUAGUUGGCCCUGUAUUGGGAAUUAAAGCUUCAGUUUGUGU